UACUCGUCACAAUCCAAGUCUUACCGUUGACGAACGCAGUCGUCUUGCCGCUGUGCGUGAGGAUGAAGUCGUCCUGUGCGUAACGGAACUUCUCCGGACCGCACGCCAUGAACACGUCGUCGUCUCCGAAGAAAUCCUGCAGACAGGGAAAACAAUGGACAUGAGAACACAAAGCAUUCUGGGACGUUUGGACAAAGGAGUAAGAUCCUAUAAGGAGAAGAAAUGCUUUCAGACUGGUUUUGAAUGUAUUUCCUGACGGCAGAAGGAGCCGUUUUCAAAUGUCAGACGCAUCACGUCGACCUUCAGAGAGACAGACGGGAACACGGCGCCGGCAACGCUUCCCUGUUGCCACGGAAACCCCAACACUGAACAGUGUUCUGACUGGACGCCGCAUUCCGUGUGCGGUUGUCAUGAGGAGGACUGGUUGCCAUGGAGACCUCAGUGCAGUGAUAACGCGUGUGAGAGAGUGAGGCUGCUGCAGUAAGGAAGCAAGAAAAAAAAUCCUCAUUCAGACGGACCAACAAAAGGGAAGCUUUUAUUUUGAAGUCCUUCUUAAGCAAACAGGGAAACGAGUCAUAACUCAUUAUGUUAAAACUCAAACUGAUUAAAGUUUUUUGU